AAGUGGCCCGAUCGAAGCUGACUGAAGUCACAAUACUUUACGUCAGUCAAAACGAGGCCGACAUCGAUGUUUUGACAAAAGGUCGCGUUCUGUUCUCAUUGUUCAUAGCGCAUCACCCAUGUCAAAUACAUUU